CACACGACUCUCGGCAACGGAUAUCUCGGCUCUCGCAUCGAUGAAGAACGUAGCAAAAUGCGAUACCUGGUGUGAAUUGCAGAAUCCCGUGAACCAUCGAGUUUUUGAACGCAAGUUGCGCCCGAGGCCUUCUGGCUGAGGGCACGCCUGCCUGGGCGUCACGCCAA
rnacentral:rRNA from 1 species